CUACGGGAGGCAGCAGUGGGGAAUAUUGGACAAUGGGGGAAACCCUGAUCCAGCAAUGCCGCGUGAGUGAAGAAGGCCUUCGGGUUGUAAAGCUCUUUCAGGUGAGACGAUGAUGACGGUAUCAUCAGAAGAAGCACCGGCUAACUCUGUGCCAGCAGCCGCGGUAAUACAGAGGGUGCUAGCGUUGUUCGGAAUUACUGGGCGUAAAGGGCGCGUAGGCGGCCUGUUGAGUUAAGUGUGAAAGCCCAAGGCUCAACCUUGGAACUGCAUUUAACACUGGCAGGCUAGAGAUCGCAAGAGGAUGGUGGAAUUCCUAGUGUAGAGGUGAAAUUCGUAGAUAUUAGGAAGAAUAUCAAUGGCGAAGGCAGCCAUCUGGGGCGAUACUGACGCUAAGGCGCGAAAGCGUGGGGAGCAAACAGGAUUAGAUACCCUAGUA
rnacentral:rRNA from 1 species